rnacentral:misc_RNA from 1 species
CCGAGUUUACAACUCCCAAACCCCUGUGAACAUACCUUAUUGUUGCCUCGGCGGAUCAGCCCGCUCCCCGUAAAACGGGACGGCCCGCCAGAGGAACCCAAACUCUAUUGUAUUUAGUGUAUCUUCUGAGUAACACAAACAAAUAAAUCA